rnacentral:misc_RNA from 1 species
UGAUGGUCCUUCUGGUUGCUUCUUCGAUCGCAAAGAGGAGUCACCUUUUUAAUCGGACGUGAUACAUUUCUGCAGAAAAGUAUGCAUGGUUAGAUCAGUUUCUGUGCUUUUCAACGGUAUAGUUGGAGAAUAAUCUCAUACUCAGUGAAAACAGAUUUGAAUAAUAGGGUUUGACUCCGCUGGAUUAUUUAUUUUGAAUGCAAGUUAAAAAAGAACACAAAAGUAGAUUAUAAG